rnacentral:rRNA from 1 species
CGUGUAGGCGGUCAGGUAAGUGGGACGUGAAAUGCCUCGGCUCACCCGAGGAGCUGCGUCCCAAACUGCUUGGCUUGAGUAUGGGAGAGGAUGUGGGAAUUCCUGGUGUAGCGGUGAAAUGCGUAGAUAUCAGGAGGAACACCGGUGGCGAAGGCGCACAUCUGGCCCAAUACUGGCGCUGAGGCGCGAAAGCUAGGGAGCAAACG